CAACCUACCUAUCAGAGGGGAAUAACCCGGCGAAAGUCGGACUAAUACCGCAUAAAACAGGGGCACCGCAUGGUGAUAUUUGUUAAAGAAAUUCGCUGAUAGAUGGGCAUGCGUUCCAUUAGGUAGUUGGUGAGGUAACGGCUCACCAAACCGACGAUGGAUAGGGGAACUGAGAGGUUGGUCCCCCACACUGGUACUGAGACACGGACCAGACUCCUACGGGAGGCAGCAGUGAGGAAUAUUGGUCAAUGGGCGGGAGCCUGAACCAGCCAAGUCGCGUGAAGGAAGAAGGAUCUAUGGUUCGUAAACUUCUUUUGCAGGGGAAUAAAGUGCAGGACGUGUCCUGUUUUGUAUGUACCCUGAGAAUAAGGAUCGGCUAACUCCGUGCCAGCAGCCGCGGUAAUACGGAGGAUCCGAGCGUUAUCCGGAUUUAUUGGGUUUAAAGGGUGCGUAGGUGGUUUGAUAAGUCAGCGGUGAAAGUUUGCAGCUUAACUGUAAAAAUGCCGUUGAAACUGUCGGACCUGAGUGUAAAUGAGGUAGGCGGAAUGCGUGGUGUAGCGGUGAAAUGCAUAGAUAUCACGAAGAACUCCGAUUG
rnacentral:rRNA from 1 species